rnacentral:rRNA from 1 species
AUUGAACGCUGGCGGCAGGCCUAACACAUGCAAGUCGAGCGGAUGAAGGGAGCUUGCUCCUGGAUUCAGCGGCGGACGGGUGAGUAAUGCCUAGGAAUCUGCCUGGUAGUGGGGGAUAACGUCCGGAAACGGGCGCUAAUACCGCAUACGUCCUGAGGGAGAAAGUGGGGGAUCUUCGGACCUCACGCUAUCAGAUGAGCCUAGGUCGGAUUAGCUAGUUGGUGGGGUAAAGGCCUACCAAGGCGACGAUCCGUAACUGGUCUGAGAGGAUGAUCAGUCACACUGGAACUGAGACACGGUCCAGACUCCUAAGGGAGGCAGCAGUGGGGAAUACUGGACAAUGGGCGAAAGCCUGAUCCAGCCAUGCCGCGUGUGUGAAGAAGGUCUUCGGAUUGUAAAGCACUUUAAGUUGGGAGGAAGGGCAGUAAGUUAAUACCUUGCUGUUUUGACGUUACCAACAGAAUAAGCACCGGCUAACUUCGUG